AGUGAACGCUGGCGGUAGGCCUAACACAUGCAAGUCGAACGGCAGCACAGUAAGAGCUUGCUCUUACGGGUGGCGAGUGGCGGACGGGUGAGGCAUACAUCGGAAUCUACUUUUUCGUGGGGGAUAACGUAGGGAAACUUACGCUAAUACCGCAUACGACCUACGGGUGAAAGCAGUGGAUCUUCGGACCUUUCGCGAUUGAAUGAGCCGAUGUCGGAUUAGCUAGUUGGCGGGGUAAAGGCCCACCAAGGCAACGAUCCGUAGCUGGUCUGAGAGGAUGAUCGGCCACACUGGAACUGAGACACGGUCCAGACUCCUACGGGAGGCAGCAGUGGGGAAUAUUGGACAAUGGGCGCAAGCCUGAUCCAGCCAUACCGCGUGGGUGAAGAAGGCCUUCGGGUUGUAAAGCCCUUUUGUUGGGAAAGAAAAGCAGUGGGUUAAUACCCCGCUGUUCUGACGGUACCCAAAGAGUAAGCACCGGCUAACUUCGUG
rnacentral:rRNA from 1 species